GUAUAUGUUGUGGUAUUUUAUUAGCGUCAUGAUUGACAUGUGUUUAAUGGAUGGGUGAAGCAAUGCCUUUUGUGGGUUAUUAUUAUUAUCCACAUAAUGAUGAUGUGCUAACCCUCUUGUGGGAUUGCAGGUGCCCGGUUCACAUAGUGAUUGACGGUUCCUCAUUGAAAUGGUUUAGUGAAAUAACAUGCAAUGUGGUUCAGGAAAAAAUCAAGAGAAAGUAAAGGCUCAGUUUAUGCAUCUGAGGACUAGGUACAUGUAGUCUGGAAGAUAAGCUGUUACGGCUUUGUCAGGUCUGAAAGGAAUUUACCCGUUAUAGUUUGAAAGAUUGGAAGCUGAUUUGUUAUUUUCUUAGUUGUUUAUUGCCACACCCAUCAAUAUUCCAGCUAUAAAUGAUGGUAGCAAUUAGAAGCUGAAGACUACUGAAUCAAAAUUAAUCAGAUGCAAAUAACACCAAAUUUAACAUUUACAAAUUACCUAAUACAUUUGUAAGGGGCUUUUUUUUACCUGACUGGACAGUUCUGCAAGUGUUUUUUUGGCUAUGAUAUUGGAAGACCUGAAAAGUUGAUAGCCAAUUCUACUUUUUAACAUGUGUCUACUUGAAAACUUUUCAGAGUUUAUCAUACUUUUUUUUUCAUUACAAUGUUUGGAGAUCGUGGUGUGUGCCUUUCAUCCCUAGCACUGAACUGCAUGUUGUAGUUGUUGUUGUUGUUGUCUGUGGUCUGGAAUGUUGUGUGGUAGCAUGGUUGUCAAUAAUAAGUUUUUUAGUUCAGUGUUCUAACAGUGUUGGUGUUGUGUUUGGACUCAUUAAUCUAUUACAGUUCCUACAACAAGUGGGGCGGUUGGGUAGCCUAGUGGUUAAAGCGUUCGCUUGUCACGUCGAAGACUUGGGUUCGAUUCUUAACAUGGGUUCAAUGUGUGAAUCCCAUUUCUGGCGUCCCUUGCCAUGAUAUUGCUGGAAAAUUGCUAAAAGUGGCAUAAACCACACUCACUCACUCAUUCACUCCUACAACAAACAAACAAUGGUUGAAGCCAGGACUACAUCAGCAGUAGCACCCUCAAUUAUCCAGUGUGUAUACAUCAGCAGUAUAACCCUCAAUACAUCAGCAGUAGCACCCUCAAUUAUCCAGUGUGUAUACAUGAGCAGUAGCACCCUCAAUUAUCCAGUGUGUAUACAUCAGCAGUAACACCCUCAAUUAUCCAGUGUGUAUACAUCAGCCGUAACACCCUGAUUAUCCAGUGUGUAUGCAUCAGCAGUAGCUCCCUCAAUUAUCCAGUGUGUAUACAUCAGCAGUAGCUCCCUCAAUUAUCCAGUGUGCAUACAUCAGCAGUAACACCCUCAAUUAUCCAGUGUGUAUACAUCAGCCGUAACACCCUGAUUAUCCAGUGUGUAUACAUCAGCCGUAACACCCUGAAUAUCCAGUGUGUAUGCAUCAGCAGUAGCUCCCUCAAUUAUCCAGUGUGUAUACAUCAGCAAUAGCACCCUCAAUUAUCCAGUGUGUAUACAUCAGCAGUAGCACCCUCACCCUUUGGCAUAAAAACAUUCUCUUGGUUUUUAUUACCAAAAAAAUUCACCAAGUUCAUAUGUUUAUUCUUGAACAACCGAAAGUUAAACAGCAGUGUCUGAACAAAAUUAAGUAUCUAAAAAAUUUUGAGAUAUAGAAAAAAGGAAGUUUGAGAAUAUCAACAAAUUUAAAUAAAAAAAUCAGUUUUGAAUAUAAUUUUUGGAUUAAUCUUAAGGAAUACAAUUAGAAAUUCAACAUUCUCACAAAACUAAAGCUUCAUUAAGAAAUAUGAAAUUAAAACAGUUUAAACCUCAAUAUGAGUUUACUGUUCUGUAUGUAAUCCAAUAGAUCCAUCAAUACAACGCUAAUUACACAACUAAGAAGACAUGAGAUGGAUUCUACUUUUGUCGUAAUAUCAAUGAGUUUUAGACACGGAAAUGGGUGUGUCUGGUUGUUAUGGGUUUGUUAUUGCCCCAGUGCUUAAUGUAAUGUGCUUAUUCUCCAAUGGCUACCUUUUUGCAAUGAGCAGGUAUUAACGAAAUUCAAUAUCUGUGCAUCUGGGAAUAGUCUGUCUGCUUGCUGGUCUAUAAAAUGAUUCUCAGAAUAUGAUUGUGCAGUUGCUUUCCUGUCUUUCUUGUUAAGUGGAGGUUCUUCGUGGUUGUAUGAAAAUGGAAUUAGAAAACCCGUUAGACAUGCCUGACUCCAGCGAAACCAAUCGCAAGUUGAAAAACUUGACGCAAGAUCUCCGUCGACAUGCCAAGAUGCAGCGAAUUAAAGUGUCAGAAGCAUGUCGGGAUAUAAUGGCAUACUGUGACGCCAACCAACAAACUGAUAUGCUUAUAUUCCCAGCAAGGGACAACCA